UGGCUCCAAGAACAUGCCUCCAAACUGCAUAAAGAAACAUCAAUUAGCAUCCUUCCAACAACAAACAUAAACAUGGACAACAAAAUGGAAAAAUGACCUAUACAUCGAUACUAACCAUUCCAAACUACUAGCUAAUAAAACAAAGAACUACUCCUCAAUUACCUCAAGACAUAAAACACUACUUACAAAUCUCGCCAUGCCUAAGAUCAAGAGAAGCUAUAACAUUCUCUUCAGUAGAAACAACAACACGCUUUCGGCCAGUCUUCUGUGUGUGAAAUACAGCGUCCCUCACUUUACCUACGUACUGUUGAUGCAAGGUUGAGUUCAAUAAUAGAACAAAGGCAAUUAGCUCCACUCGGAAUCAGCGAAUUCAACGCGAGGAUACAAAUCAGAGCUACACACCACGAAGCAGCGACUGUAUAAGCAAGUUUUCUUUACUAUUUUCUGUGGUUUUUCUCGAGAACCAAACAAAGCUGAAAUCGAGUAAAAUUAGGAGCUCACCAAUCCAUAAGACCUACUUGAUCUUCGUAAAGCGAGAAGGUAGAGAUUGUAGUCGAUAAGAGCAUUAGGGAGAUAAGAAAAACCAUAAUCACCAUGUCCAUGGCCAGCAGACCUCUGUUUCCUCUCUCUUUACUCGGUGAAGAGAGAGACAGAUCUGAGAAGACGAUGCGCGUCAACGUGUGCUCUGUAUGAAGUGAAGAGAAGAACCAUGCUUUUGUCGUCG
rnacentral:misc_RNA from 1 species